rnacentral:rRNA from 1 species
GGAUAUGUUUACAUGGAAGCGUUCUUAGCGGCGGACGGGUGAGUAACACGUGGGUAACCUGCCUCAAAGUGGGGGAUAGCCUUCCGAAAGGAAGAUUAAUACCGCAUAAGCCUACAGUGCCGCAUGGCACAGCAGGAAAAGGAGCAAUCCGCUUUGAGAUGGACCCGCGGCGCAUUAGCUAGUUGGUGAGGUAAUGGCUCACCAAGGCGACGAUGCGUAGCCGACCUGAGAGGGUGAUCGGCCACAUUGGAACUGAGACACGGUCCAGACUCCUACGGGAGGCAGCAGUGGGGAAUAUUGCACAAUGGGCGAAAGCCUGAUGCAGCAACGCCGCGUGAGUGAUGAAGGCCUUCGGGUCGUAAAGCUCUUUGAUCAGGGAUGAUAAUGACAGUACCUGAAAAACAAGCCACGGCUAACUACGUGCCAGCAGCCGCGGUAAUACGUAGGUGGCGAGCGUUGUCCGGAAUUACUGGGCGUAAAGGAUGCGUAGGUGGAUACUUAAGUGGGAUGUGAAAUCCCCGGGCUCAACCCGGGAACUGCAUUCCAAACUGGGUAUCUAGAGUGCAGGAGAGGAAAGCGGAAUUCCUAGUGUAGCGGUGAAAUGCGUAGAUAUUAGGAGGAACACCAGUGGCGAAGGCGGCUUUCUGGACUGUAACUGACACUGAGGCAUGAAAGCGUGGGUAGCAAACAGGAUUAGAUACCCUGGUAGUCCACGCCGUAAACGAUGGGUACUAGGUGUAGGAGGUAUCGACCCCUUCUGUGCCGUCGUUAACACAAUAAGUACCCCGCCUGGGGAGUACGGUCGCAAGACUAAAACUCAAAGGAAUUGACGGGGGCCCGCACAAGCAGCGGAGCAUGUGGUUUAAUUCGAAGCAACGCGAAGAACCUUACCUAGACUUGACAUCUCCUGAAUUACCCUUAACCGGGGAAGCCCUUCGGGGCAGGAAGACAGGUGGUGCAUGG